rnacentral:rRNA from 1 species
AGUGAACGCUGGCGGUAGGCCUAACACAUGCAAGUCGAACGGCAGCACAGUAAGAGCUUGCUCUUACGGGUGGCGAGUGGCGGACGGGUGAGGAAUACAUCGGAAUCUACUUUUUCGUGGGGGAUAACGUAGGGAAACUUACGCUAAUACCGCAUACGACCUACGGGUGAAAGCAGGGGAUCUUCGGACCUUGCGCGAUUGAAUGAGCCGAUGUCGGAUUAGCUAGUUGGCGGGGUAAAGGCCCACCAAGGCGACGAUCCGUAGCUGGUCUGAGAGGAUGAUCAGCCACACGGGAACUGAGACACGGUCCCGACUCCUACGGGAGGCAGCAGUGGGGAAUAUUGGACAAUGGGAGGAAGCCUGAUACAGCCAGACCGCGUGGGUGAAGAAGGCCUUCGGGUUGUAAAGCCCUUUUGUUGGGAAAGAAAAGCAGCAGGUUAAUACCCCGCUGUUCUGACGGUACCCAAAGAAUAAGCACCGGCUAACUUCGUG